rnacentral:rRNA from 1 species
CCUAAGGCGAGGUCGAAAGACGUAGUCGAUGGAUAACAGGUUGAAAUUCCUGUACCGCAUAUAAACAGAACUGUGGGGACACAGACAGGGAAUGGAAUCCGGGAAUGGAUAUCCCGGUGCAAGCGAGGUAGGAGUGCUGUUGGCAAAUCCGCAGCACGAUCUGAAGACGUGACGCGUACCGAACAUAAGUAGGGAAGUCCAGGCCCCUGGCUGUCAAGAAAAGCCGCUAUUGUUUUAUAUGUGCCCGUACCGCAAACCGACACAGGUGGAUGAGGAGAGAAUCCUAAGGCCGACGGGAGAAGUAUUGUUAAGGAACUCGGCAAAAUGACUCCGUAACUUCGGGAGAAGGAGUGCCAUGAGAGUGGCCGCAGAGAAAUGGCCCAAGCAACUGUUUAGCAAAAACACAGGUCUAUGCAAAACCGCAAGGUGAAGUAUAUGGGCUGACGCCUGCCCGGUGCUGGAAGGUUAAGGGGAGAGGUUAGCGCAAGCGAAGCUUUGAACUUAAGCCCCAGUAAACGGCGGCCGUAACUAUAACGGUCCUAAGGUAGCGAAAUUCCUUGUCGGGUAAGUUCCGACCCGCACGAAAGGCGUAAUGAUUUGGGCACUGUCUCAACGAUACACCCGGUGAAAUUGAAAUACCAGUGAAGAUGCUGGUUACCUGCGCCAGGACGGAAAGACCCCAUGGAGCUUUACUCCAGUUUGAUACUGGGAUUCGGCAUGGUAUGUACAGGAUAGGUGGGAGACUGAGAAGGUAUGACGUCAGUUGUACCGGAGUCGCUGUUGGGAUACCACCCUUACCAUGUUGGAUUUCUAACCUGUGGCCGUAAGCCGGUCAGGGGACAAUGUCAGGCGGGGAGUUUGACUGGGGCGGUCGCCUCCGAAAGGGUAUCGGAGGCGCUCAAAGGUUCCCUCAGAAUGGUUGGAAACCAUUCGAAGAGUGCAAAGGCAGAAGGGAGCUUGACUGCGACACCGACGGGUGGAGCAGGUACGAAAGUAGGACUUAGUGAUCCGGUGGUAUAAAGUGGGAUUGCCAUCGCUCAACGGAUAAAAGCUACCCUGGGGAUAACAGGCUUAUCACUCCCAAGAGUUCACAUCGACGGAGUGGUUUGGCACCUCGAUGUCGGCUCAUCGCAUCCUGGAGCUGUAGCAGGUUCCAAGGGUUGGGCUGUUCGCCCAUUAAAGCGGUACGCGAGCUGGGUUCAGA